CUUCAUUCAUUAUUUCCCAAACAAGUCAGUAGAAAAUUGAGGUUUCUGAGCAAUUUGCAGAUUAAUAACCACUGGAGAUGUGGGUCCAUAUAACCUCACCGAGCGAAAAAGUGAGACCCUCCCCUCUCUCCUUCUCUUGAAUAAGGACCUACAGUAGAUAUCUUGAGAAGCAAAAAAAGAGAAAAGCAGAAACAUCUACACACCGGGGUAAUAAUGGAGCGUCCGUGAGCAGGCACGUGAAAACACACAGAGAGCGCCAGCAGCGUAAGUGCUCAACAACUGAUAAGCACACUACAAAUAACAAGAAGAG
rnacentral:lncRNA from 1 species